UUUUGUCAGACUGAAUAAAAAUCUCCUUACGAGUAAAAGAACAACACGGUUAAUGAGGAUUUGUUGUUUGUAAAUUGUUAGCUGCUGUAACCUCUGGUUUUAGUUCAUUUGUGUUUCUUGAUUUGAGGUUAAUCCCUCAAAGCUGUGUUGUGGACUGGUUUCUUACAGCACUAUUUAUUGCGUGCCUGAGAUCGCAAGUAGGCCGCCUACGUCAAUAAUCUAAAACACAGUGUGUUUAUGAAGUGGUCCUGGCACGGAGAUCCUUGAGCCAAUGCUGGCCUUUGUCCAUGAGAGAAGAGUGACUUUACGCCCUGUAACUACGGCCUGUAACUACCCAACAAGAGGUCGCUGGGCACUCGCAGUCAAGAGGAACUACGCAACCUUCCACGGCAGUUGCAGACCCCCCAAGAUCAAUCCUGGUCGUUCCUUGAGCCCGAUUAAAAGCAAGUCCCUGACUAUUAUAUGAUCUUCAAGGAUUGCAUGGUCUUUGGUUGAGACCCGGAUUGCAGAGAGACGUUUUCAAUGACUUGUGAAGUUUAUUAUCAACAUCGUCAAGAUUACCCCUUUAUUUAAUAUUGGAUAUUGGGACGAAUAUCAUCCGUCGUCUGCUUUAUUCUCUUUACUUUGUGGAUGAUGGAGAAACGGUCGUACACUCGUACGUUACUUAAACUGUUUAAAAUUAAAUUUAGAUUUCAACCUGCAGACGGGCCGGUCAGUUUGCAUCUCCUUCACGCUUGAAGGUCGAGGGAAACAUUGUGUAAAACUGUCAACGCGGUGGUGUAGAGGUUGGGUGAGAACUGGACGUGUUGCAUAAUUUUCAGCAGACCCAACCCCAGCAAGGGGGUUGGGUCUACCUAAAGAAGGAAAGGCCAGUUUGCAUUUCCUUCACUUUCGAAGGUCACGGAGAUCAUUACGUAAAACUGUCAAUGCGGUGGUGUAGAGGUUGGGUGAGGACGACACGUGUAACAUCAUUAUCAAGUAAGUAAAAUAGUCGCAAGGUAUAAGAUGUGGGUCAGGGUUAGAAAAAGUCGUAUAAAAGGAGAGAGAAAAGUCGACAAGGAUCAGUCGAACGAGUAUCUCCGACAUGGUAACAACUUCAGCGAACUAUUGGGCACCAGCUGCAUUCUUCAUCGUGUCAUUAGUUCGCAAUCAUAAUAAACUAUGGCGUUGUGCUGCUGCUGGGUGUUGAAUCGCUGACGGUUGGGUCGACCACUGGUGUACCGAUGUCUCCUGGUCCUGUGUAUGGUGGAUAUCAAAGCACAACAUUGCUGUCUUAAUACUCAUCAUCAACCAAUGCUGCUCCAGCUUACACCACCAAGGCUUCAGAGUAUUACUAGUUGCAUUAAAGGAGAGAAAUGGCUUUCCCGACACGACAACAACUUCCGCGCACAAUUUGUCACCAACUGCCUUCUUCAUCGUAUAAAGCGUAAACUGUGGCGUCGUGCUGCUGUUGGUUGCAGUCCUGAAAUACUACACCACCGAGGCUUCAGAGUAUUACACUGCAAUUUAUG